AGCCAUGGGCAGGUUGAAGGUUGGGUAACACUAACUGGAGGACCGAACCGACUAAUGUUGAAAAAUUAGCGGAUGACCUGUGGCUGGGGGUGAAAGGCCAAUCAAACCGGGAGAUAGCUGGUUCUCCCCGAAAGCUAUUUAGGUAGCGCCUCGUGAAUUCAUCUCCGGGGGUAGAGCACUGUUUCGGCUAGGGGGCCAUCCCGGCUUACCAACCCGAUGCAAACUGCGAAUACCGGAGAAUGUUAUCACGGGAGACACACGGCGGGUGCUAACGUCCGUCGUGAAGAGGGAAACAACCCAGACCGCCAGCUAAGGUCCCAAAGUCAUGGUUAAGUGGGAAACGAUGUGGGAAGGCCCAGACAGCCAGGAUGUUGGCUUAGAAGCAGCCAUCAUUUAAAGAAAGCGUAAUAGCUCACUGGUCGAGUCGGCCUGCGCGGAAGAUGUAACGGGGCUAAACCAUGCACCGAAGCUGCGGCAGCGACACUCAGGUGUUGUUGGGUAGGGGAGCGUUCUGUAAGCCUGUGAAGGUGGCCUGUGAGGGUUGCUGGAGGUAUCAGAAGUGCGAAUGCUGACAUAAGUAACGAUAAAGCGGGUGAAAAGCCCGCUCGCCGGAAGACCAAGGGUUCCUGUCCAACGUUAAUCGGGGCAGGGUGAGUCGACCCCUAAGGCGAGGCCGAAAGGCGUAGUCGAUGGGAAACGGGUUAAUAUUCCCGUACUUGGUGUUACUGCGAAGGGGGGACGGAGAAGGCUAUGUUGGCCGGGCGACGGUU
rnacentral:rRNA from 1 species